rnacentral:rRNA from 1 species
ACCGGCGCACGGGUGCGUAACGCGUAUACAAUCUACCUUUUGCUGUGGGAUAGCCUUUGGAAACGAAGAUUAAUACCGCAUAGUAUGCAGACUUCUCAUGAAGAUUGCAUUAAAGGUUACGGCAGAAGAUGAGUAUGCGUCCUAUUAGCUAGUUGGUGUGGUAACGGCACACCAAGGCCACGAUAGGUAGGGGCCCUGAGAGGGGGAUCCCCCACACUGGUACUGAGACACGGACCAGACUCCUACGGGAGGCAGCAGUGAGGAAUAUUGGACAAUGGAGGCAACUCUGAUCCAGCCAUGCCGCGUGCAGGAAGACUGCCCUAUGGGUUGUAAACUGCUUUUAUACGGGAAGAAACACUGCUACGUGUAGCAGCUUGACGGUACCGUAAGAAUAAGGAUCGGCUAACUCCGUGCCAGCAGCCGCGGUAAUACGGAGGAUCCAAGCGUUAUCCGGAAUCAUUGGGUUUAAAGGGUCCGUAGGUGGAUGAUUAAGUCAGAGGUGAAAGUCUGCAGCUCAACUGUAGAAUUGCCUUUGAUACUGGUUAUCUUGAAUUAUUAUGAAGUAGUUAGAAUAUGUAGUGUAGCGGUGAAAUGCAUAGAUAUUACAUAGAAUACCAAUUGCGAAGGCAGAUUACUAAUAAUCAAUUGACACUGAUGGACGAAAGCGUGGGGAGCGAACAGGAUUAGAUACCCUGGUAGUCCACGCCGUAAACGAUGGAUACUAGCUGUUCG